UUUAUAUAGCUCAGGAAAUAAAUUAAUCUAAAGUGAAACUUGAAACAUCUAAAGAAUUUAGUAUCGGAGAAAGAAACUUAAUUUUAGGAGAUAAAAGUACUGUAAAGGAAAGAGCUAAAAAUAAAAAAAUUAGUUUAAUUUGCGUACUUUUUGCAUCACGGCUUAGCAAGAAUUAACUUAAAAUUUUAAAUUCUCGAAAGUUGGCGAGCUAUUUUUUUCCGGAAAUUAGGCCUAAUUUUUAAAAAUUACUCAAAAUGUAGCAAAAUUUUAGCAAGAGUGAAAAAUAGAGAUGAAAUUUUAUCCGCGCUAACGAUAGCUAGUUUUCCCAGAAAUGUAUAGAAGUACUAAAAUGAAGAUAAGUCAGAGAAAGGCUGUAUUCUAUGACUUGUUUCAACAUUAAAAGUUUUUAAGGAUAAGCUUGAAAACAAAAGGUAGAAAAUAUAAACAAAACUUAUAACGUAGGCUUGAAAUUGGCCACCAUAAAAAACUUAUUAUAAAGUAGUUUUCGCAUUUUGUAAAAUGAAUAUAUUUUUAUUCCGAUCUUUAUGGGAAUAAAAGAUCAAAUUAAUUAGUCUUUUAGCCUAUGCUAAGAUGAGUAUUAAAGAUUGUGGUAUAAGCUGAGAAUUCUAUAAUUUUGAUUCUCGUAAAAAAUUGAAACUCGAAUAAAAUAGAAAGAAGGAACUCGGCAAAAUAAAUUGCUUCGCCUGUUUAUCAAAAACAUGGCUCUUUGUUAAGAAAAAAUAAAGAGUCGAACCUGCCCAGUGAAGAUUUUUAACGGCCGCGGUACUCUGACCGUGCAAAGGUAGCAUAAUCAUUUGCCUUAUAAUUGAAGGCUUGUAUGAAUGGUUUGACGAGAGCAAUACUGUCUCCUUUCUAAUUAAUAGAAUUUAACUUUCAGGUGAAGAGGCCUGAAUAAAAUUGAAGGACAAGAAGACCCUGUCGAGCUUAAAAGAAGAGUAGAAAAUGAGCUAUAAUUAUUUUAAAUGUAUUACUAUUAGAGCUUUUUGGUUGGGGCGACUAAGGAACAGAAAAAGCUUCUUUAAAUAUAUACACUUAUUAGUGAUGAUCCAGUAAAUCUGAUUAAAAGAAUUAGUUACCGCAGGGAUAACAGCAUAAUCUCUCUUAAGAGACCAAAUCGAAAGAGGGGGUUGUGACCUCGAUGUUGGACUAGAAUAUCCUAAAGAUGCAGAAGUCUUUGAGGGUUGGUCUGUUCGACCAUUAAAAUUCUACAUGAUCUGAGUUC
rnacentral:rRNA from 1 species